ACUAGUUCCCAAAAGCUUGGAUGGGACUUGAAAUACUUACAACGAGCAGAACAGGAUCGAGCAUGUGCAGCUAUAUAGGAGUAUACUCAUGCAUGUAGAAGUUGCGUCGUGCAACAUGUUAUUAGCUACCGUCCAAGCUGUCAAAGUGUGCAUGGCUCUUGUCUAUCUUUUCUAGGUGCUUUCAGACAUUCACGUACUAAUCACAGACAUGGGAAGACUAUAAGACGUCAAGAUGAAAGGCUCCUAGCAGCUCUCAGUGUUCCCAACGAAACUGGCAGAAUGGCAGUGGCUGAUUACAAGCUGCCUUUGGUGAACAAAAAAACCGUGACCACAUUAGAAUCCGAGCAGAGCUCCAAUCCUGCAUUCUGAUGACACCUCACACAACGGCUCUCUGUUAUGGGGGGCUGGUACUUAAGAAGCUUUACUGCGGGCAUCCUACCCACUAUUUUCAGACUGUUUUGGUGGAAACUUAAGCUAGACUCUAGGCCAGCGGCGGAAAAAGAGCUUCAGGGACAUGCAUGUCUACAGUGUCAUGGAAGAUGCAUCAAAGGAUACUGGACCUGCCGCCAGCUGACAUGCCUUUCUUCCUCCUUAGUUCUGUUAAGAUGUGGGUUCAGUUUUUCUAGACAUGCAAUCCAUAAUAUAUGCAGUCUAGUCAAUCAGUGCACGGCAUUACAUGCCAUUCAUUUCCUAUGUAUAUAUUUAGUCAGAAUCAAAGCAGG